UAACCGUCCUGGGCCACAUGCAGCCCAAGGGCUGGACACCCCUGGUAGACAUAGGUCACAUCACAUCAACAGUGCUGAGAUGAGAACACAUUCCAACAGGGUAGCCAGGAUGAGGGUUGAUCUAAAAACCAUGUCACUAGUGUCAAAGAAGCUGAAAGCAUUUUGUCCGAAAAUGAGCCAGGUAAUGUAUGACAGCUUCAAAGUAUCUGAAGUAUUGUUAUUGUGAUGCGAUGCCAAAUUGCAUAGUUCUAGAGGUAAGAAUUCAGAUCAAUGAACAAUAACAACAAGGAAGAUAAAACCUGGUUCAGUGUAAGGCAGUACUUUUAUCUAGCAUUAUUUUUUCUGAAGAUGGACAAGGUGGCUGUUCACAUGGGGCAGGGAUGAACAUCCCAGCUAAGCUGAACACCUGCUGGUUCUGUGCACUUUAUGUGAAGUCAGCUGUAACAACAUGCCUGCAAUGUAGUUUUUAAUUGCAAUUUCACAGAUAAAAAUCACAUGGCUAAGAAGUGGAGAAAACUGGAUUCUAAUCCAGUCCAUCUGUCUCCAAAGCUGGCUCUUCCUACACUUCACACACCUAAGAGAAGUUAAAUUAGCAGUUGUUAAAGUAGCAUAUGGGACUUCUGAGUUGGUGAAAACUGAGUAUCAUCUGAUUUGAAGUCCCUUUCAAAAUUAAGAUGCCAGAAAUGAAAAGUACUACUUCCUUCAUUUGUAGGAGCACUUCCUACUUUAAGAAUGCUUUCAUAUCUAUUCUCACAAAAAUGGUUUAAGGUAAAUAAGCUCUUGGCAUUCUACCUCAGAGAGGAAGAGGACAACAAAGGUGGAUUUCUUCAACUUCCUUCUGGUUUAUCUCCAAACAUAUUUGUUUAUUUUCAACUCCCCAGGUCUUUCAUUCAUUCAGCGCUCAUUUUAUUAAGCAAGUUUUAACAUGCCAGCUACCAAAUCUCAAUGACUUACAGUCUGAUGAGAAGAGCCUGUAGUCAUAGAGGAAAAAGUUUAUUUAGAAAUAUUUCUAUCUUCUUACAGAUCUUACUUUAUACAUUCUAAUUCCUUUCUCAUAUCACUUUCAUUUAUCCCUCACUGCUGUCUCUGCUCCUUCUUCUUGGCUAUAGAAAACUUCUCUUCCUCCCUAACAAGCUACUAAUCCAUUUGGUAUAUGUUUCACCUUCCUGCAUGCAAUCUGACUUCCAUACUCACCACUCGAAUUGAAAUUACUCUAAGGUCACCAAUAAUUAUCUACUGCAAAAUCUUUGUUUUUCUCAACUACUCUACAAUGCUGGAUACCAAUGGUCUUUAUUAAACUCUCUUCUUGCUACCUCCAUAAAAAUUUCACCUAUUUUUCCCAACCUUUUGGGGCCCCUUUCAGUUAGCUUUCCUUCCACCACCUGUACUUUAAUGCUGGCUCUUUCAGCUCAUGCUUUUUCCUCCUGGCCUACCACCUCUUCCUAGACAAUCUCAUCUAUUUCUGUAAUACCAGCCAUUACCUACAUGAGUCUUCAUUUCUACUCCUAACUCCCCAACUCAAUUUCCAAAUGCUCAGUGGGCCAUUUUACCUGCAUAUUCCACAUUAUCUCAGAUUCAGCAUAUCAAAAUUCAAUUUAUCACCCUUAGGUCCCUCCCUCAAAGUGUUGUUUUUCUGAAAGUCUUAGGUUGGUUAAUAGUAAUGGCACCACCAAUACACAGUAACCCAGAAUAUAAAAAUAAUUAUUUCUGAAAGCCUUACCUUACUUCAUCUCCCAUUUUUAAUUUUUAGUCACCCUGUUCCAGGCAUUUUACCAAAAAUCUUCCAGAAAACUCUCUUCCCUCACAGUGACCUAGUUCAGACCCACUUCAGUCCUCACAUGAGUUAUCAAAAUCACUUCCUAACUGGUCUCUCAACUCUUGGUUCUCCUUUCUCUACCCAUCCAUCCAUCCUUGUAGCAGAUAUAGUUUUUUUACAAGAAUCUCUUCCUUCAUGGAGUACACCUGAUCCAGACAUAUAUAAGAGACUUGGGACUGGCUGGAGUACUACCUACCUACUCCUAGCGACAUGUCUAGUUCAGGGAAGAACAUAUGAUCAAAACCUUCCUCAGGACUUUACUUCCUUGCCAAGGACUUUACUUUCUUGCCAAAGAAAAGACACUCUCUUUUCUUUUGGGAUUUUAAGCAAGGCCAAUAUAAGCUAAACUGCCUAUAGCAGGGAAGAAGGGGCAAAGUUUAAAAAGGGUAGGAUGCGAUGGAGAAUCUACUGUCACCAAGUUCUGGAUCUAGCUCUGCCUGACCAUUCCUAUCACCUAGCCAAUAAA